AUAUGACUUUGUUUUUUUUUCUUUGCAGAAUUAUAGGCUACAAAGUGUAGGCCUGAUCGGCAAGCACCAUACCAGGAUCCAGACACAACCACAUUUCUUCAGCUCUGAUAAAGACCCCCCGGAGACUCGAGUCUACUGUUAACAAACAAUAUUGGACACAAAAGUAGAAAUAGCUAAUUUCUCAAGCCAGAUGAUCAGAUUUGUGUAGUUAUGACAUCUACCAGCGGGGCAAAUUUCUGAAGCUAACCAGCGAAAACUUUACCCCAUGUUCAGACCUGAACAUAAACAGCUUCUUGUGUUUGUGUGCUGAAUUCUCAUAAAAAGCCUCUUCAGCAGGAAAAAGAGCAGCUUGGACAUCCUGCUACUCUUCAAAAGACACAAGGACAAAUGCAGAAGUUCAGCGCUGAACCUUCGGCGAAGUUUGAGGGCUCCUCUCAUCGACGUUGAUCAUUUUAGGGUACU
ensembl:lncRNA